rnacentral:rRNA from 1 species
CCUACGGGUGGCAGCAGUGGGGAAUAUUGGGCAAUGGGCGAAAGCCUGACCCAGCAACGCCGCGUGAAGGAAGAAGGCUUUCGGGUUGUAAACUUCUUUUGACAGGGAAGAGCAGAAGACGGUACCUGUCGAAUAAGCCACGGCUAACUACGUGCCAGCAGCCGCGGUAAUACGUAGGUGGCAAGCGUUGUCCGGAUUUACUGGGUGUAAAGGGCGUGUAGCCGGGCUGACAAGUCAGAUGUGAAAGCCCGGGGCUCAACCCCCGAACUGCAUUUGAAACUGUUGGUCUUGAGUAUCGGAGAGGCAGGCGGAAUUCCUGGUGUAGCGGUGAAAUGCGUAGAUAUUAGGAGGAACACCAGUGGCGAAGGCGGUCUGCUGGACGACAACUGACGGUGAGGCGCGAAAGCGUGGGGAGCAAACAGGAUUAGAUACCCGAGUAGUC